CACCGCCCGUCACACCAUGGGAGUGGGGUUCACCAGAAGCAGGCUGCCUAACCGCAAGGAGGGCGCCUACCACGGUGAGCUUCAUGACUGGGGUG
rnacentral:rRNA from 1 species